rnacentral:lncRNA from 1 species
CCGCAUGGAAGGUGGUAGGAAACUGCUUCGUCAAGCCCUCAUAAAUCUAUCCAGAGCGCCACUGCCAUACCCAAUUCUUUGAGUUUCUCUCUUUACUUUUAAUUGUCUGCCUCCUAUCUAUGACCACUCAACCAGUCUCUUCUUCUCCUUCUUCUUCGUCUUCUUUCACUCAUGGAGAGCACGUGAGUUUGUUCUUACUGUAUCGUUUUAUUAAGAAAGAAAAUCAAUACAAAAUCAGAUAAGAUUCUCUGUGCUUC